ACUUGGUGUAGUUGGUUUGGAAGGAAGAGGACUUGUUUCUUCAAGUUGACAAUUUAUUCAAGUAAAGAAUAUUGGAGAAGAAGGUUUCUGACGAAACGGGAUUCGAGCUUUGGCGAUCGUAAAGGGCAAGAAAGGUACAGACGACAGAUUUGCUGAACCGCCCGCUUAGGACUUUAUUCUGCUAUUUUGGAGCGCUCUUUUAUCCGGAGCCUAUAUCUUGGUACAGUCUUCUGUUAUUGUGUAUAUGUAUGCUAUUCAGG